rnacentral:rRNA from 1 species
AGCCAUGCAUGUCCAAGUAUAAAUCUGGUACAAGAUGAAACUGCGAAUGGCUCAUUAAAUCAGUUCUAGUUUCUUUGAUGGUGUCUUACUACAUGGAUAACCGUAGUAACAUAGAGCUAAUACGUGCUUCAAAUCCUGACUGGUGCUCUCGGGUGCCUGGAAUAGGAUGUAUUUAUUAGAUCCAAAACCAAUGCGUUAUCGCGUUCCUUCGGGUGCGUGGUGGCGGUUAUGUUGGUGAUUCAUGCUAACUUUUCGGAUCGCAUGGCCUUGCGCUGGCGAUGCUUCAUUCAAGUUUCUGCCCUAUCAACUGUCGAUGGUAGGGUAUUGGCCUACCAUGGUUGUAACGGGUGACGGAGAAUUAGGGUUCGGUUCCGGAGAGGGAGCCUGAGAAAUGGCUACCACAUCUAUGGAUGGCAGCAGGCGCGCAAAUUACCCAAUCCCGACCUGGGGAGGUAGUGACAAUAAAUAACAAUGCGGUUCCUUCUUUGGUUCUGCAAUUGGAAUGAGAACAAUCUAAACACCUUAACGAGGAGCAAUUGGAGGGCAAGUCUGGUGCCAGCAGCCGCGGUAAUUCCAGCUCCAAUAGCGUAUAUUAAAGUUGUUGCAGUUAAAAAGCUCGUAGUUGGAUUUCGGAGCGGUCGGGUUGGUCCGCCCAGCGUGGUGUGCACUGGCCUUGGUGGUAUGGCUGGGGUUGCUUCUUUCACGAGGGGCUUCCUUUAGCCUGCUGCCCUUGUUGCGUGUACACGUAGCAAGUGACCGUUCUUCUCCCUCGGAGACGGAGUCUGUCCUUUACUGGAUGGGCUUUGGAUGCGAGGUGUUUACUUUGAAAAAAUUAGAGUGUUCAAAGCAGGCCUUAUCUUCGCUUGAAUACAUUAGCAUGGAAUAAUGGAAUAGGACUCUGUGCCUAUUUUGUUGGUUUGAAGGCAGAGAGUAAUGAUUAAUAGGGACAGUUGGGGGCAUUCGUAUUUAAUUGUCAGAGGUGAAAUUCUUGGAUUUCUGAAAGACGAACAACUGCGAAAGCAUUUGCCAAGGAUGUUUUCAUUAAUCAAGAACGAAAGUUAGGGGUUCGAAGACGAUCAGAUACCGUCGUAGUCCUAACCAUAAACAAUGCCGACUAGGGAUCAGCGUACGUUCGUUCUAUGGGACGUCGUUGGCACCUUACGA